AUUGAACGCUGGCGGAAUGCUUUACACAUGCAAGUCGAACGGUAGAGGGGCAACCCUUGAGAGUGGCGAACGGGUGAGUAAUGUAUCGGAACGUGCCCAGUCGUGGGGGAUAACGUAGCGAAAGUUACGCUAAUACCGCAUACGAUCUAAGGAUGAAAGCGGGGGAUCGCAAGACCUCGCGCGAUUGGAGCGGCCGAUAUCAGAUUAGGUAGUUGGUGAGGUAAAGGCUCACCAAGCCGACGAUCUGUAGCUGGUCUGAGAGGACGACCAGCCACACUGGGACUGAGACACGGCCCAGACUCCUACGGGAGGCAGCAGUGGGGAAUUUUGGACAAUGGACGCAAGUCUGAUCCAGCCAUUCCGCGUGCAGGAUGAAGGCCUUCGGGUUGUAAACUGCUUUUGUACGGAACGAAAAGGCUCUGGUUAAUACCCGGGGCUCAUGACGGUACCGUAAGAAUAAGCACCGGCUAACUACGUGCCAGCAGCCGCCGUAAAAC
rnacentral:rRNA from 1 species